ACGGGAGGCAGCAGUGGGGAAUAUUGCGCAAUGGGGGCAACCCUGACGCAGCGACGCCGCGUGAGUGAAGAAGUUAUUCGUAAUGUAAAGCUCUAUCAGCAGGGAAGAAAAUGACGGUACCUGACUAAGAAGCCCCGGCUAACUACGUGCCAGCAGCCGCGGUAAUACGUAGGGGGCAAGCGUUAUCCGGAUUUACUGGGUGUAAAGGGAGCGUAGACGGCUUUGUAAGUCUGAUGUGAAAGGCAGGGGCUCAACUCCUGGACUGCAUUGGAAACUACAGGGCUUGAGUGCCGGAGAGGUAAGCGGAAUUCCUAGUGUAGCGGUGAAAUGCGUAGAUAUUAGGAGGAACACCAGUGGCGAAGGCGGCUUACUGGACGGUAACUGACGUUGAGGCUCGAAAGCGUGGGGAGCAAACAGGAUUAGAUACCCUGGUA
rnacentral:rRNA from 1 species